rnacentral:rRNA from 1 species
CCUACGGGGUGCAGCAGUGGGGAAUAUUGGGCAAUGGGCGCAAGCCUGACCCAGCAACGCCGCGUGAAGGAAGAAGGCUCUCGGGUUGUAAACUUCUUUUAUCAGGGACGAAGCAAGUGACGGUACCUGAUGAAUAAGCCACGGCUAACUACGUGCCAGCAGCCGCGGUAAGAAGUAGGUGGCAAGCGUUAUCCGGAUUUACUGGGUGUAAAGGGCGUGUAGGCGGGAAAGCAAGUCAGAUGUGAAAACCAUGGGCUCAACCUGUGGCCUGCAUUUGAAACUGUUUUUCUUGAGUACUGGAGAGGCAGACGGAAUUCCUAGUGUAGCGGUGAAAUGCGUAGAUAUUAGGAGGAACACCAGUGGCGAAGGCGGUCUGCUGGACAGCAACUGACGCUGAGGCGCGAAAGCGUGGGGAGCAAACAGGAUUAGAUACCCCGGUAGUC